AGCGGCGGACGGGUGAGUAACACGUGGGUAACCUGCCUGUAAGACUGGGAUAACUCCGGGAAACCGGAGCUAAUACCGGAUAGUUCCUUGAACCGCAUGGUUCAAGGAUGAAAGACGNUUUCGGCUGUCACUUACAGAUGGACCCGCGGCGCAUUAGCUAGUUGGUGAGGUAACGGCUCACCAAGGCGACGAUGCGUAGCCGACCUGAGAGGGUGAUCGGCCACACUGGGACUGAGACACGGCCCAGACUCCUACGGGAGGCAGCAGUAGGGAAUCUUCCGCAAUGGACGAAAGUCUGACGGAGCAACGCCGCGUGAGUGAUGAAGGUUUUCGGAUCGUAAAGCUCUGUUGUUAGGGAAGAACAAGUGCAAGAGUAACUGCUUGCACCUUGACGGUACCUAACCAGAAAGCCACGGCUAACUACGUGCCAGCAGCCGCGGUAAUACGUAGGUGGCAAGCGUUGUCCGGAAUUAUUGGGCGUAAAGGGCUCGCAGGCGGUUUCUUAAGUCUGAUGUGAAAGCCCCCGGCUCAACCGGGGAGGGUCAUUGGAAACUGGGAAACUUGAGUGCAGAAGAGGAGAGUGGAAUUCCACGUGUAGCGGUGAAAUGCGUAGAGAUGUGGAGGAACACCAGUGGCGANGGCGACUCUCUGGUCUGUAACUGACGCUGAGGAGCGAAAGCGUGGGGAGCGAACAGGAUUAGAUACCCUGGUAGUCCACGCCGUAAACGAUGAGUGCUAAGUGUUAGGGGGUUUCCGCCCCUUAGUGCUGCAGCUAACGCAUUAAGCACUCCGCCUGGGGAGUACGGUCGCNAGACUGAAACUCAAAGGAAUUGACGGGGGCCCGCACAAGCGGUGGAGCAUNUGGUUUAAUUCGAAGCAACGCGAAGAACCUUACCAGGUCUUGAA
rnacentral:rRNA from 1 species